CACACCAGAGCGCAGCCGUGGCCGCGCACCUCACCUCAUCGCCUCGCCCACGCACACAGCUGUCCAAAUACCUCGGACAAUGCCUGUGAUUAAUACGCCGUUUUUUAUGGAGCUGCGUCCUGGGGAAGAGCUCAAGCUUGCGCAGGCGCCGUCACCUGCCCUGCCGACGAGCUCUUCCGUGGCUUCUGCGCACACCACGAAUGCGUUCGCGAAGAAUGAGUUUCAUGCCAUGGUGAGCGGGGUCGCCUUCGUGGAAGAGGAGAACGUGGAUGACAAGGGCGCGGCCACCGCGGCUGCCGCGGCCGCCACGGCGUACAAGCCGAACCACAAGCACAGCGUUAUUCGCGUCACCCUGCUUGCACACGUGCAGCCGCCACCGCAGGGUUCUUCGACCGAGCACUUCUUGAAGACGGUGACGCUGGCGAGUUUCAACUUUAGCAGUGACCCCUCCCCCAAUGGCGAUGCGUCCAACGCUGCAUCGUGGGAGCGUCAAGGCAAGGCGAGAGGGUCGGUGUCGUCGCUCCCCUCUACCGUGACGCGAGUGGAGAGCACGGUUCAGUUUCGCUCGCCACUGUUCUUUCACUCGAGCGGGAGCAUCCAGUCCUUGUCGGUCGUUGCUGAGGACAUGGCCACCACGGCCGGCUCCUCGGGUAGCAGCGGGUCUGUGAAGCGCUACCAAGGCCCACGCCGAUUCGGGGUGCGCCUGCACGGUGUCCAGCAGACAUUCCUGACAGAGGAGCAAGUGCUGAUGCUGGCACAGCAGUAAGCAGCGCGCCUUUGCCGAACAGCUCAGCUGCCUUUCUCUGCGCCUGUGGGCCUCUUCGCACCCACCACAGAGAGAUCUCACACAUGUGAAACGUGUGUGCUAACACUCGUGUCUGUGAGGGGGGACGGCUGGGGGAGGGCGGUGUGCGGACACAACUGCAUCAGGACACACUUGAGGAAGUUUGUAUUUUACACACACGCACAUAUAUAUAUAUAUAUUGUGAACGCUUAACUCGACACGGCAAAACAAAAGCAUAAAGGCGAAGAGCACGAGGGAGCCCACACACACAGGGAUAACUUGCGCACGCAAGAGACGCCGGAAAACGUGCCCACUGCAUCGUCUUGUCCACCUGUAAAGUCAAGAACACGGGAAAGAGUGUCGGGAGGAAGAUUCGGUCUCUCUCUGCUUUCAGUAGCGGAGGCGCCUCUCUCAAGCUGCACUGCGAAGGAAGCGGGUGGGCGCAUGCUUUGGGAGCUCGCCGCAAGGGCCGCGCAAAGAGGACAGGUGAGGGGCCUAACGCGUUUUUCGUUUUUCUUUUUUCGUCUUGGCCGAGGGCUCGGACGGACAGGUCACGCGAGCACGUGCUCCAAUGCCGGCCACCGCCACUGCUCCACCCGUCCUCUUGCUUCCUUACCGUCCCACCUUACUUUCUCCUCGUAGCCGCUCUCCUCCGAUGCUUGUGUAUGUGCGCGCGUGCGGCAAAAGGGCUGCUCCACUGCCGUUGAUCGGCACCGCAGCCUUGCGCGCAUCAGCGGUGGCGCCAAGCCCACUUCAUGAGGCGGGUGCGCUUGCCGUGCUUUGCCGUUUUUCACCUCCGCCCCCCCCCCCCCCCGUGUCUCGCUAAGGCCUUCUGGAAGUGGUCUCACACGCACGUGGCGCUCGCUGUACUUUGUCUCGUGCUUUAUGUUUUAUGUUGUCCCAUUCCUACUCCGUCCUCUUCCUUUCCACGCAUUCCGCCACAG
rnacentral:misc_RNA from 1 species